rnacentral:rRNA from 1 species
CCUACGGGAGGCAGCAGUGAGGAAUAUUGGUCAAUGGGCGCGAGCCUGAACCAGCCAAGUCGCGUGAGGGAAGACGGUCCUAUGGAUUGUAAACCUCUUUUGUCGGGGAGCAAAAGACGCCACGCGUGGCGUUCCGAGAGUACCCGAAGAAACAGCAUCGGCUAACUCCGUGCCAGCAGCCGCUGUAAUACGGAGGAUGCGAGCGUUAUCCGGAUUUAUUGGGUUUAAAGGGUGACUAGGCGGAAGAUCAAGUCAGCGGGAAAAUUUAGGGGCUCAAUCUCUUCGAGCCGUUGAAACUGGUUUUCUUGAGUGAGUGGGAAGCAUGAGGAAUGCGUGGUGUAGCGGUGAAA